GGAUGAACGCUGGCGGCGUGCCUAAUACAUGCAAGUCGAGCGAACAGACGAGGAGCUUGCUCCUCUGACGCUAGCGGCGGACGGGUGAGUAACACGUGGAUAACCUACCUAUAAGACUGGGAUAACUUCGGGAAACCGGAGCUAAUACCGGAUAAUAUAUUGAACCGCAUGGUUCAAUAGUGAAAGACGGUUUUGCUGUCACUUAUAGAUGGAUCCGCGCCGCAUUAGCUAGUUGGUAAGGUAACGGCUUACCAAGGCAACGAUGCGUAGCCGACCUGAGAGGGUGAUCGGCCACACUGGAACUGAGACACGGUCCAGACUCCUACGGGAGGCAGCAGUAGGGAAUCUUCCGCAAUGGGCGAAAGCCUGACGGAGCAACGCCGCGUGAGUGAUGAAGGUCUUCGGAUCGUAAAACUCUGUUAUUAGGGAAGAACAAAUGUGUAAGUAACUAUGCACGUCUUGACGGUACCUAAUCAGAAAGCCACGGCUAACUACGUG
rnacentral:rRNA from 1 species